rnacentral:misc_RNA from 1 species
UCCGUGUUAACCACGGCAGUCUCUUUAGAGUGCCCAACUUAAUGCUGGCAACUAAAGACAAGGGUUGCGCUCGUUGCGGGACUUAACCCAACAUGUCACCACACGAGCUGACGACAGCCAUGCAGCACCUGUCCUCCGGUCGUAUUGCUACGAAAGCUCUAUCUCUAGAGAUGUCCGGAAAUGUCAAAUCCUGGUAAGGUUCUUCGCGUUGCUUCGAAUUAAACCACAUGAUCCACCGCUUGUGCGGGCCCCCGUCAAUUCCUUUGAGUUUUAGUCUUGCGACCGUACUUCCCAGGCGGGGUACUUAACGCGUUAGCUCCGACUCUGCAGGGGUCAAGUCCCGCAAAAUCAAGUACCCAUCGUUUACGGCGUGGACUAC